UCCUGGUUAACCCAGGCAGUCUCACUAGAGUUCCCACCUUAAAUGUUGGCAACUAGUGAUAAGGGUUGCGCUCGUUGCGGGACUUAACCCAACACCUCACGGCACGAGCUGACGACAGCCAUGCAGCACCUGUGCAGAGGCUCCGAAGAGAAGUGACAUUUCUGCCACCGUCCUCUGCAUGUCAAGUCUGGGUAAGGUUCUUCGCGUUGCAUCGAAUUAAACCACAUGCUCCACUGCUUGUGCGGGUCCCCGUCAAUUCUUUUGAGUUUCACCCUUGCGAGUGUACUCCCCAGGCGGUAUACUUAUCGCGUUAGCUACGGCACAGUUAGGGUUGAGUCCAACUACACCAAGUAUACAUCGUUUACAGCAAGGACUAC
rnacentral:misc_RNA from 1 species